GUCCCUGACAGAGCUACCACCUUAACUGAGUGCCGGAGAUAAGCGCCGGGAGGGACGUACUUU
rnacentral:sRNA from 14 species